GGAAUAUUGCACAAUGGACGCAAGUCUGAUGCAGCGACGCCGCGUGAGGGAUGGCGGCCUUCGGGUUGUAAACCUCUUUCGCCGGGGACGAAGGGGCCCGUCAGGGUUUUGACGGUACCUGGAGAAGAAGCGCCGGCCAACUACGUGCCAGCAGCCGCGGUAAGACGUAGGGCGCGAGCGUUGUCCGGAUUUAUUGGGCGUAAAGAGCUCGUAGGCGGCUCAUUGCGUCAACCGUGAAAUCCUGCUGCUCAACGGCAGGUCUGCGGUUGAUACGGGUGGGCUGGAGUUCGGUAGGGGAGACUGGAAUUCCUGGUGUAGCGGUGAAAUGCGCAGAUAUCAGGAGGAACACCGGUGGCGAAGGCGGGUCUCUGGGCCGAUACUGACGCUGAGGAGCGAAAGCGUGGGGAGCGAAC
rnacentral:rRNA from 1 species